UUCAGUAGGAGGAAACCUUAUGGCUAAUACCCAUGACGCUGAACUGUAGCCUACAGGAAGAAGCACCGGCUAACUCCGUGCCAGCAGCCGCUAAUACCGAGGGUGCAAGCGUUAAUCGGAAUUACUGGGCGUAAAGCGCGCGUAGUGUUGUGGUAAGCGAGAUGUGAAAGCCCCGGGCUUAACCUGGGAACGGCAUUUCGAACUGUCAGACUAGAGUGUGGUAGAGGGUAGUAAUUUCCUGUGUAGCGGUGAAAUGCGUAGAUAUAGGAAGGAACACCAGUGGCGAAGGCGGCUACCUGGACCAACACUGACACUGAGGUGCGAAAGCGUGGGGAGCAAACAGGAUUAGAUAGCCUGGUAGUGCACGCCGUAAACGAUGUCAACUAGCCGUUGGGACUCUUGAAGUCUUAGUGGCGCAGCUAACGCACUAAGUUGACCGCCUGGGGAGUACGGCCGCAAGGUUAAAACUCAAAUGAAUUGACGGGGGCCCGCACAAGCGGUGGAGCAUGUGGUUUAAUUCGACGCAACGCGAAGAACCUUACCUGGCCUUGACAUCCAGAGAACUUUCCAGAGAUGGAUUGGUGCCUUCGGGAACUCUGAGACAGGUGCUGCAUGGCCGUCGUCAGCUCGUGUCGUGAGAUGUUGGGUUAAGUCCCGUAACGAGCGCAACCCCUAUCCCUGGUUGCUAGCAGGUAAUGCUGAGAACUCCAGGGAGACUGCCGGUGACAAACCGGAGGAAGGUGGGGAUGACGUCAGGUCAUCAUGGCCCUUACGGCCAGGGCUACACACGUGCUACAAUGGCGCGUACAGAGGGCUGCCAACUCGCGAGAGUGAGCCAAUCCCUUAAAACGCGUCGUAGUCCGGAUCGGAGUCUGCAACUCGACUCCGUGAAGUCGGAAUCGCUAGUAAUCGCGAAUCAGAAUGACGCG
rnacentral:rRNA from 2 species